rnacentral:rRNA from 1 species
AGAGCGUAUAAGUAUAAGGGAGCUUAACUGCGAGACUUACAAGUCGAGCAGGUGCGAAAGCAGGCUUAAGUGAUCCGGUGGUUGCAAGUGGUAGCGCCAUCGCUCAACGGACAAAAGGUACUCCGGGGAUAACAGGCUGAUCGCCGCCAAGAGUCCAUAUCGACGCGGCGGUUUGGCACCUCGAUGUCGGCUCAUCGCAUCCUGGGGCUGUAGAAGGUCCCAAGGGUUUGGCUGUUCGCCAAUUAAAGCGGUACGCGAGCUGGGUUCAGAACGUCGUGAGACAGUUCGGUCCUUAUCCACUGUGGGCGCAUGACAUUUGAGGAGAACAUUCCUUAGUACGAGAGGAUCGGGAAUGACGCACCGCUGGUGUUCCAGUUGUCCCGCCAGGGGCAUCGCUGGGUAGCUAUGUGCGGAAUGGAUAAGCGCUGAAAGCAUCUAAGCGCCAAGCCGUCUCCAAGAUUAGAUGUCAAUUCUCGGGUGCGCAAGCAUCCGGGGUGUAGGCCGGUCGAAGACUACGACCUCGAUAGGCUGGGUGUGUAAGCUCCGCGAGGAGUUGAGCUAACCAGUACUAAUCGGCCUAAGGGCUUGACCUU